AUAAGCCCGGGAAACUGGGUCUAAUACCGGAUAUUCUCCUUCCGCCGCAUGGCGGGGGGUGGAAAGCGGUUUAGCGGUCGGGGAUGGACUCGCGGCCUAUCAGCUUGUUGGCGGGGUAACGGCCCACCAAGGCGACGACGGGUAGCCGGCCUGAGAGGGUGACCGGCCACACUGGGACUGAGACACGGCCCACACUCCUACGGGAGGCAGCAGUGGGGAAUAUUGCACAAUGGGCGAAAGCCUGAUGCAGCGACCCCGCGUGAGGGAUGACGGCCUUCGGGUUGUAAACCUCUUUCAGUAGGGAAGAAGCGAAAGUGACGGUACCUGCAGAAGAAGCGCCGGCUAACUACGUGCCAGCAGCCGCGGUAAUACGUAGGGCGCAAGCGUUAUCCGGAAUUAUUGGGCGUAAAGAGCUCGUAGGCGGUUUGUCGCGUCUGCCGUGAAAGUCCGGGGCUCAACCCCGGAUCUGCGGUGGGUACGGGCAGACUAGAGUGAUGUAGGGGAGACUGGAAUUCCUGGUGUAGCGGUGAAAUGCGCAGAUAUCAGGAGGAACACCGAUGGCGAAGGCAGGUCUCUGGGCAUUAACUGACGCUGAGGAGCGAAAGCAUGGGGAGCGAACAGGAUUAGAUACCCUGGUAGUCCAUGCCGUAAACGUUGGGCACUAGGUGUGGGGGGACAUUCCACGUUUUCGGCGCCGUAGCUAAACGCAUUAAGUGCCCCGCCUGGGGAGUACGGCCGCAAGGCUAAAACUCAAAGGAAUUGACGGGGGGCUCGCACAGGCGGGCGGAGCAUGCGGGAUU
rnacentral:rRNA from 1 species